rnacentral:rRNA from 1 species
UAACACAUGCAAGUCGAACGAACCUUCGGGUUAGUGGCGGACGGGUGAGUAACGCGUGAGAAUCUGCCCUCAGGAGGGGGAUAACGGCUGGAAACGGCCGCUAAUACCCCAUAUGCCGCGAGGUGAAAUGAAUUUCGCCUGAGGAUGAGCUCGCGUCUGAUUAGCUAGUUGGUGGGGUAAAGGCCUACCAAGGCAUCGAUCAGUAGCUGGUCUGAGAGGAUGAUCAGCCACACUGGGACUGAGACACGGCCCAGACUCCUACGGGAGGCAGCAGUGGGGAAUCUUAGACAAUGGGCGAAAGCNUGAUCUAGCGAUACCGCGUGAGUGANGAAGGUCUUAGGAUCGUAAAGCUCUUUCGCCAGGGAUGAUAAUGACAGUACCUGGUAAAGAAACCCCGGNUANNUNCGUGCCAGCCGCCGCGGUAAUAC